rnacentral:rRNA from 1 species
AGUGAACGCUGGCGGUAGGCCUAACACAUGCGAGUCGAACGGCAGCACAGUAAGAGCUUGCUCUUACGGGUGGCGAGUGGCGGACGGGUGAGGAAUACAUCGGAAUCUACUUUUUCGUGGGGGAUAACGUAGGGAAACUUACGCUAAUACCGCAUACGACCUACGGGUGAAAGCAGGGGAUCUUCGGACCUUGCGCGAUUGAAUGAGCCGAUGUCGGAUUAGCUAGUUGGCGGGGUAAAGGCCCACCAAGGCGACGAUCCGUAGCUGGUCUGAGCGGAUGAUAAGCCACACUGGAACUGAGACAGGGUCCAGACUCCUACGGGAGGCAGCAGUGGGGAAUAUUGGACAAUGGACGCAAGCCUGAUCCAGCCAUACCGCGUGGGUGAAGAAGGCCUUCGGGUUGUAAAGCCCUUUUGUUGGGAAAGAAAAGCAGCAGGUUAAUACCCCGCUGUUCUGACGGUACCCAAAGAAUAAGCACCGGCUAACUUCGUG